rnacentral:rRNA from 1 species
GAUGAACGCUAGUGGCAGGCCUAAUACAUGCAAGUCUAGGGGGCAGCAAUGUCACCGGCGCACGGGUGCGUAACACGUAUGCAACCUACCUUCUUCAGGGGUACAGCCUUCCGAAAGGGAGAUUAAUACCGCAUAAGACCACACUGUUUCAUGACAGAGAGGUUAAAGAUUUAUCGGAAGAAGAUGGGCAUGCGUCUGAUUAGUUAGUUGGCGGGGUAACGGCUCACCAAGACGAUGAUCAGUAGGGGACCUGAGAGGGUAAUCCCCCACACUGGCACUGAGAUACGGGCCAGACUCCUACGGGAGGCAGCAGUAGGGAAUAUUGGGCAAUGGGCGCAAGCCUGACCCAGCCAUGCCGCGUGCAGGAAGAAGGCGUUAUGCGUUGUAAACUGCUUUUAUAUAGGAAGAAAAAGGCCAUGCGUGGCAAACUGACGGUACUGUAUGAAUAAGCACCGGCUAACUCCGUGCCAGCAGCCGCGGUAAUACGGAGGGUGCAAGCGUUGUCCGGAUUUAUUGGGUUUAAAGGGUGCGUAGGCGGCUUUUUAAGUCAGCGGUGAAAGCCGGUCGCUCAACGACCGAACUGCCGUUGAUACUGAUUAGCUUGAGUUUGAUUGAGGCAGCCGGAAUGGAUAGUGUAGCGGUGAAAUGCAUAGAUAUUAUCCAGAACGCCAAUUGCGUAGGCAGGUUGCUAAGUCAUUACUGACGCUGAGGCACGAGAGUGCGGGGAUCAAACAGGAUUAGAUACCCUGGUAGUCCGCACCGUAAACGAUGAUGACUAGCUGUCGGGCUUUCGGGUUCGGUGGCACAGGGAAACCGUUAAGUCAUCCACCUGGGGAGUACGCCGGCAACGGUG